AUUGAACGCUGGCGGCAUGCCUUACACAUGCAAGUCGAACGGUAACGGGCCUUCGGGUGCCGACGAGUGGCGAACGGGUGAGUAAUGCAUCGGAACGUACCUUUCAGUGGGGGAUAACGUAGCGAAAGUUACGCUAAUACCACAUAUUCUGUGAGCAGGAAAGCAGGGGAUCGCAAGACCUUGCGCUGAUUGAGCGGCCGAUGUCAGAUUAGCUAGUUGGUGAGGUAAAGGCUCACCAAGGCGACGAUCUGUAGCGGGUCUGAGAGGAUGAUCCGCCACACUGGAACUGAGACACGGUCCAGACUCCUACGGGAGGCAGCAGUGGGGAAUUUUGGACAAUGGGGGCAACCCUGAUCCAGCCAUGCCGCGUGAGUGAAGAAGGCCUUCGGGUUGUAAAACUACUGUCGGGAGGGACGAGGGGAAACGUCUGACGGUACCUCGCAAGAAAGCACCGGCUAACUCUGUGCCAGCAGCCGCGGUAAU
rnacentral:rRNA from 1 species